rfam:TPA: Bos taurus chromosome 14, whole genome shotgun sequence.
UCCCUGGUGGCUUAGUUGGUAAAGAAUCCGUCUGCAAUGUGGAAGACCUGGGUUUGAUUCCUGGGUUGGGAA